UACGAAGGGGGCUAGCGUUGCUCGGAAUCACUGGGCGUAAAGCGCACGUAGGCGGACUCUUAAGUCAGGGGUGAAAUCCUGGAGCUCAACUCCAGAACUGCCUUUGAUACUGGGAGUCUUGAGUUCGGGAGAGGUGAGUGGAACUGCGAGUGUAGAGGUGAAAUUCGUAGAUAUUCGCAAGAACACCAGUGGCGAAGGCGGCUCACUGGCCCGAUACUGACGCUGAGGCACGGAAGCGUGGGGAGCAAACAGG
rnacentral:rRNA from 1 species